GAGAGAGAGUGUGUGCAGAGCGCGGGAACCGUGCGACGUGAAAGGGAGAGCGUCCAAUCCCUGUGCGCCUCAGGCACUACACCCCAUUCGUCACCACCCCACCAAACGCCACAGUGGCUCCUCCACAGCCGGCCGCAACCCUUUACCCUUUUCCCCAGCUCCUCCUUCAUCCUCCUGUGCCCCCUCCCACAUCUCAUCCACCCCCUCAUCUCUGGCCGGAUCCAUGACAUGUGGGACGGAGGCGAGCUUCUCCAGCGUCGACGACUUGCAGGCGAAGGGCGAGGGCAUCGGCGCUUGAUUUGAGGCAGCGUCAUGGAUCGGUCCCUUCUAAGCCACGAGAUUGCUGGACUGCCACCAUCCCUCCUGCACUGUGCGUUGCCUCCUGCGAGUGCCACCUCGCCGCACUAGCUUCCAGUGCCAUGGAUCCGCCGGAGAUGGAGGGAACAAGUGAGAGGGAGUAGGAGAACAGGUGAACCGAGGGAGUGAAAGAAGGAUCUCACACGGGAAGGGGAAGAGGGAGUCUGGCGGCGUAUCCUCAUCUCAUCCCCGGCUGUAGAUCUUUUGACGCCAUGGCACCAGUGGUGGCUCCUCGAUGGAGCGCCUCCUCCCAUGACGGCAUGACCAGCCGCUCUUGCUCGACGCCACGAUACACAACGAGGUAGGCUCGACUGCCUUUCUCCUCUCUCCCAUGUGAUUUGUUCUCUGUUGAUUUCCCCUCUUGCCUAUUCUAAUUCACGGGCAAAACAAUGGCGGAUUUCUUCAUUGUUGAUCUGAUUUGGGGCUGAUUUUCCUCUAGAUUCCUUCCUUUUACAGUUCCUUUUUGACUUGUUGUUCAUCACGUCGAUGGCUUCCGCGGAGCAGAGGCCCUCUUCAUCUCGGCAGAGAAGCAGAACGGCCAGGAGCUGGCGGUCUGCUACCCUAUGCCAAUGGAUGCGCCUCCUAGAUGGCUAGCAAUGCCAGAUCCGGCUAGAAAGGGCUCUAUGGUAGCUUUGGUUUGUUCACCACCGCAUGAAGUAUUGUUCUUUCUGUAAUUUAUUUAUGUAGAUUUAACCUCAUACCUCACAGAGGUAGUCAUCUUAGAUUACUUUGAAGUAUUGUUAUUGGUCACAUGUUUAUUAGGUUUAAAUGCCACUAUUCUGCAUGGGUUGUUACUAACACAAAUUGUUGUUGUGAUUAGGCACCAAUCCUAUUAUUGAAGCCACUGGAUAGUUGUCGUUAGCUGUAAUGUGAUUAGCUACCAAUCCUAUUAUUGAAGCUAUUAUGGUAUAUGUUGCUGCUACAUAAAUAUACUCUUAUGUGAUCAUGAAAUUGCAUUCAGUUUUAGUAUUCUCUGGUGCUGGAAGAGCUAACAUGUAUCAAGCUAGGAGUACAAUUCCUUUUUGUAAAUUUGGCUAAUGCGGACAAUGGACAUGCUUUGAUGUUUUUCUUUUCUCAUAUCGUUAGGCAGAUUGAGAAGCUGAUCCGAGCGAAGCAACUAUGUUUGGUGUUCUUCUGCUGGAGCUGAUCACCAGGAGAAGAAUCUAUGAUGCUUCGAGGCCUAAACUAGAGCAGAGCUUGCUAACAUGGGUAAUCAGUUCUACAUUGCCAUAAUUCAGUAAGUAACAAUCUAAGCAAGGCACCAGUGUAGAUUGAGAAAGACACAAUCUGAGAAGUACUCCCUCUGUCCAAAAAUACUUGUCGAAGAAAUGAGUGUACCUAGAUGUAUUUUAGUUCUAGAUACACCCAUUUUUAUCCAUUUCUCUGACAAGUGUUUCCGGACGGAGAGAGUAGAACACAAAAUUAGAAAUAAUCUGUGCGCAUCAUGUGUAUGUUUGCUCAUGAGAGGAUAGAGUAUGUAGUACAGUUUUCCCAACAAUGUGCCCAUCAGUACAAAUUGAAUGAAUGUCCCCGUAGUUUAAAGGAUCCCAUGUAUUUUGGUUUAUACUUAAAGUUCCUCAUGAAACAACUAGGUGUUAAAUUGUUAAAAAAGCAACUAGAGGUUAUCAGCAUAGGAUUCUGACAUUUACUAUCAUUUAUACUGCCACUGAAUUUGAGUGACUGCUCAGGUUUGUAACUUACCCCGGAUGCUACAAGUUCAUAAUAAGAUUUUGAUUCCUGUCUAGAGGUAAUUGUUCUUAGAAAAAUGACAUGGCUAAUGAAAGAGAACAUGGUAUGCAUAUUUGAUAGUAGGAGACCUACUCCCUAACAACAUCUCAGUUCAAAAUAUCAAACAAUUAUUAUCUUUGUAGCAUAACAAAUUAUGCAUGCUCAACUAUGUAUUUUGAAACCUUAGUCUUUCUUAAAUUUUCAUAUAAAAAGGGUUACAAUUUGUACCACAACAUGAUACGGAAAACCUUAAUUAGUGUUACAGUUUGUUGCAGUUUUAUUUUUCCUUCAGAUUGUGUUUAUAACAUAUAUUAUGUUUUCAGCUAUUAGAAUAAAGUGUGCAUAUCUUGGUUUUCGUUACCCGCAAAACAUUUUUUAUAAGCUUGCGUGCUAUUAGAGUAAAGUGUGUGUAUCUUGGUUUGAGUUACCUACAAAACUAUUUUUUAGAAGCUUGCAGAUUUCUAUUUAGGAAUCAGAUUUCUGUACUGAAUAUGCCAUUCUCACUUCCAAGUGGUAAAUUCUUUGAUCUUUUUGUCAUCUACUUUGACUUGUUAACAUCUGUUGUACAUAUCUAAGGAGCGGGAGGUGAAAGUGCAAAUCAAAAUUUCUAUUUUGGAAUGUGAUGUUCUCUACUAAAUGUGAUUAUCACUUUUGUGUGGUAAUUAAUUUCUGAGCCUGUAAAUUCUUUGAUGCGGCAAACUACUAUGGAUGUUGAUCCAUCACAAUAUUGACCAUUAACUUUGUGCAAAUCUCCGAGGUUAGUAAUUCCAGAAUUCGAGUGGCACAUACUGCUGAUGCUCUCUACAACACUAACUCAUGGAUCAAUGUUCGUCUCUACGUUUGUCUCUGUUUUGUGUCAGGUUAUUUUGCGUAUAGCCAUUUGCUUCUCUGGCAUUUCCUUGAAGCUGCCAUUGCAAGAGGAAACAGAAGGAUAUCUUCGUGAUCAGCACAUUGGUGUCUAAGGCUACUUGCUGUGUCACUGUGCCCUGCAAGUGCAUGAAUAAACAUGGAUAGAUCAAUACAGAUAGGUUAAUUACCGACUAUCAUAGCUAAAAGUUCUGAAAAAUCAUCUGAAGUGAUUUUCUUUUGGUUUUCCGUUCAAAUAUCAUCGAUCCUUGUGCCUGCAGAAUCUCUAAUUUAACACAUGUUGGCAGUCUGACAAACAGUAAGACACUUUUGGUGGUGCUAAUUAACUCGUCUGAGCCUGAAUGAUAAAGAAAUAUUUUUUUA